GUGCCAGCAGCCGCGGUAAUACAGAGGCCAAGAGCGUUGUUCGGAUUUACUGGGCGUAAAGGGCGCGUAGGCGGCAAGGCGUGUCAAGUGUGAAAUCUCCGGGCCCAACCCGGAAAGUGCGCUUGAAACUACCAUGCUUUGAGUCCGGGAGGGGGAAUCGGAAUACAGGGUGUAGCGGUGAAAUGCGUUGAUAUCCUGUAGAACACCGGAGGCGAAGGCGGAUUCCUUGAACGGUACUGACGCUGAGGCGCGAAAGUCGGGGGAGCAAACAGGAUUAGAUACCCUGGUAGUCC
rnacentral:rRNA from 1 species